AGAACGAACGCUGGCGGCAUGCCUAACACAUGCAAGUCGAACGAGACCUUCGGGUCUAGUGGCGCACGGGUGCGUAACGCGUGGGAAUCUGCCCUUAGGUACGGAAUAACAGUGAGAAAUUACUGCUAAUACCGUAUGAUGUCUUCGGACCAAAGAUUUAUCGCCUAGGGAUGAGCCCGCGUUGGAUUAGCUAGUUGGUGGGGUAAAGGCCUACCAAGGCGACGAUCCAUAGCUGGUCUGAGAGGAUGAUCAGCCACACUGGGACUGAGACACGGCCCAGACUCCUACGGGAGGCAGCAGUGGGGAAUAUUGGACAAUGGGCGAAAGCCUGAUCCAGCAAUGCCGCGUGAGUGAAGAAGGCCUUCGGGUUGUAAAGCUCUUUUACCCGGGAAGAUAAUGACUGUACCGGGAGAAUAAGCCCCGGCUAACUCCGCGCCAGCACGCCGC
rnacentral:rRNA from 1 species